GGAGAGGUGUCAGAGUGGCCGAAUGAGCACGCUUGGAAAGCGUGUGUGUCGUAAGGCACCGGGGGUUCGAAUCCCCCCCUCUCCGCCA
rnacentral:tRNA from 2 species